UAAUACGGAGGGUGCGAGCGUUGUUCGGAAUCACUGGGCGUAAAGCGCGUGUAGGCGGCCCAUUAAGUCUGAUGUGAAAGCCCGGGGCUCACCCCCGGAAGUGCAUUGGAAACUGAUGGACUCGAGUCCCGGAGAGGAGAGUGGAAUUCCUGGUGUAGCGGUGAAAUGCGUAGAUAUCAGGAGGAACACCGGUGGCGAAGGCGGCUCUCUGGACGGUGACUGACGCUGAGACGCGAAAGCGUGGGGAGCAAACAG
rnacentral:rRNA from 1 species